AUGGCAUGGUGUGGACAUUUUCUAAUCAGAUCUUUGAGUCUUUUUCAAGUCUCAUGGAAUAUUUUCCUAUCCAUCUGGGAAAAACUAAUAAUAGCUUUUCUAAUCU